UUUGCCAAAAUUUCUCCACCUUAAGUUUCACGCAUUUUUCUCUCUGGACGCCUCCUUUGACUUCUGAGGUCUGCUGAGAACGCACAUCAAGCCUUUUUUUGCAUCUCUGCCCUCUUUGUACUCAGAUCCUCAUCUUCAUCCCCAGCACAGGUUGGUCUAGCACUCAGAGAGGUAAGGUCCUCCUUUAAAGAUGCCACAGAGACCUCAAACUUCUGCAGCCUGUGGUAAGUUGGAAAUUGACUAUGCUGGACCUUUCGUUCUUAUGUUGCAAUUUCUCUGGUGCCAUCAGAAGCAGCCACCAUACUCCACAGUCAUUGUACUUCCCAUUGUUCUCAUAUUGAUUUAAGUUCCACAGCGACUUGCUCUCACAUUGAUUUCCUCUCCACCUGCACUUCAUGUCAGUUAACCAGUGGUGAAAAGCUGAAGCAAUUUUCUUUUUAUUGAGAUAAGAUUGCUUUGUAACAUCAUAUAAAUUUCAGGUGUACAUUGUUAUAUUUCGAUUUUCUUGUGGAUUAAAUCAUGUUCACUACCCAAAGACUAAUUACCAUCCAUCACCAUACAUAUGUGCCUAAUCACCUCUUUCACCUCUCUCCUCCCCACUUCCCCUCUGGUAACCACCAAUCCAAUCUCUAUCUCUAUGUGUUUGUUUGUCGUUGUUUUUAUAUUCUGAGUGAGAUCAUAUGGUAUUUGACAUUCUCCCUCGGACUUAUUUUGCUUAGCAUAAUACCCUCAAGUUCCAUCCAUAUUGUCACAAAUGGCAAGAUUUUGCCCUUUUUUAUGGCUGAGAAGUAUUCCAUUGUGUAGAUAUACCACAUCUUCUUUAUUCAUCCCUUGAUGGGCACCUAGGUUGCUUCCAAGUCUUGGCUGUUGUGACUAAUGCUACAACAAACAUAGGGGUGCAUGUAUCUUUACACAUUCAUGUGUUCAUGUUCUUUGGAUAAAUAUCCAAGAGUGGAAUAGCUGUAUCAUAUGGUAGUUCUAGUCUUAAUUUUUCGAAUAAUCUCUGUACUGUUUUCCAUAGUGGCUGCACGACUUUGCACUACCACCAGCAGUGUACGAGGAUUCCUUUUUCUCCACAUCCUCUCCAACACUUGUUAUUUAUUUUCUUGUUAAUUAUAGCCAUUCUGAAGAGUGUGAGGUGAUAUCUCAUUGUAGUUUUGAUUUGCAUUUCCCUGAUAAUUCGUGAUGUUGAACAUCUUUUCACGUGCCUGUUGGCCAUUGCAUAUCUUCUUUGGAAAAACGUCUGUUCAGAUCUUUUGCCCAUUUUUUAAUUGGUUUGUUAGUUUUUUUGUUAUUGACUUCUAUGAGUUCUUUAUAUAUUUUGGAUAGUAACCUCUUAUCUGAUAUAUGAUUUGGAAAUAGUUUCUCCAAUUGUUAAGUUGUCUUUUCAUUUUCUUGGUCAUUUCUCUUGCUGUACAGAAGCUUUUUAGUUUAGUUUAGGGUUUUGUUUUGCUUUGUUUUUGGCAGGGGAAGAUUCGCUAUGCUAACAUCUGUUGCCAAUCUUCUUCCUUCCUUUUUUUCUUCUUUUUCCCCUCUAAAGCCCCAGCACAUAGUUGUGUAUAGUUGUAAGUUCUUCCAGUUUUUCUGUAUGAGCCACCACCACAGCCUGGCUACUGAGAGACGAGUGGGUGUAGUUCCAUGCCUGGGAAGCAAACCUGGGCUUCCAAAGCAGAGUAUGCCAAACUUUAACAAUUAGGCCAUCAGGGCAGGCUCCAAAGUUUUUGGUUUGAUGUAGUCCCGUUUGUUGUUUUCUUCUAUCGUUUUCCCUGUCUGGUUAGACAUGGUACUUGAAAAUAUGCUGCUAAUACUGAUGUCGAAGAGCAUACUGGUGCCACUUCUUGUCAGAGGUUAUUACCAUCUUGUUUAUUGACAUAGACUGCAAGUUUGUGUCCCCCCAAAAUCCAGGUGUUGAGUCUCUAAUCCUCAAUGUGAUGGUAUUUGGAGAUGGGGCCUUGAGACAUGAUUAGGUUUAGAUGAGGUUAUGAGGGCACGGCCCCCAGCAUGGUAUUAAAGUCCCUCUAAAAGAGGAAGAGCCUUCUCUCUCUGCAUGCAUGCACAAGGAGAGGCCAUGUGAGGACACACUCAGGAAGAGGGUUCUCUCCAAGAAUACCACCACGCUGACAUCCUGAUCUUGGACUUACAGCCUCUAGGACUAUAAGAUGAGAAAUAAAAGUUUGUUCUUUAAGAUGCCCAGAUUAUGGCAUUUGUUAUAGCCUCUGGAGCUGACUAAGACACUUGCCAUCCACAGAGGGCUGCUACUGUUUUCAGAUAGAUAAGCAAUCCUACUGCAAAAUUCCAUCUUGAGGGCCUGCUUUUGAGAAACACUUCUGGCAUCAAUUGUCUUAGCCUCGGUCUUCCAUAAAGCAGAGACCAAGGAAAACCUCAAUAUGUGCACAGUUUGGGGAAGUUUCAAGCCUAAGGUGGUAAGCAUGUGGAAGAAAAGGAAAUGUGUGUUUCUUGGAGUGUGGGAUUAUGAAUGUACGCGAGGGGGAAAUUCAUACACACACAAAUCAGAACGAUCCACGGCAGGUGAGAAAGCAAGCUAAUUCAUGUACUUGGUUUCUUCUCAUCUCCCCUCUCUCAUUGGCUGUGGUUUACCCCAGGGGAGCUAGUUCCUCCACAGUUAUGGGGUGUAUCUUCUGAC
rnacentral:lncRNA from 1 species